rnacentral:rRNA from 1 species
AUUGAACGCUGGCGGAAUGCUUUACACAUGCAAGUCGAACGGUAGAGGGGGCAACCCCUUGAGAGUGGCGAACGGGUGAGUAAUAUAUCGGAACGUGCCCAGUCGUGGGGAUAACGUAGCGAAAGCUACGCUAAUACCGCAUACGAUCUAUGGAUGAAAGCGGGGGAUCGCAAGACCUCGCGCGAUUGGAGCGGCCGAUAUCAGAUUAGGUAGUUGGUGAGGUAAAGGCUCACCAAGCCGACGAUCUGUAGCUGGUCUGAGAGGACGACCAGCCACACUGGGACUGAGACACGGCCCAGACUCCUACGGGAGGCAGCAGUGGGAAUUUUGGACAAUGGGCGCAAGCCUGAUCCAGCAAUGCCGCGUGCAGGAUGAA